AUCCUUUUUCUGAUCCAGAGAAAACAAGAAAAAAAAAAAUCUGUUCUUAUCAGUUUAAUAUCUGAUACGUCCCCUACCCGGGGACCAUAUAUUAAAUUGAUUUUUGGAGCAGGGAGAUGGAAUAGGGGCUUGCUCCGUCCACUCCACGCAUCGACCCGGUAUUGCAGUACCUCCGGGAACGGUGCACCCCCC
rnacentral:snRNA from 1 species